rnacentral:lncRNA from 1 species
AUACAUUACGAUGCAUCAUUUAUUUAGAGCUAUUUCUGUGGGGGCCUGUGGUGUUCCCAGUUAUCAAGUCAAUGACGGUGCUGUCAUCUGGGGUCAAGAUCGACUAAAUAUUGUUGCAGAUUUACUUUGUGGAUGGAAAGAUCCAGUGCAAAAUUCCAUCAGCAAACUGUAGUAAGAGAAAUCAUUACGUUGGCUUUUGUAAAUACCGGAGACAUUGUAAUUUUAUAAUAACUAUAUGUUUUACAUUUCAUAAAGGACAAUAAAAGUAUAUCUACAUAUACUUGACCAAAUUUAACUCUCGUUGGAUCACUAACGUACUGUUCGUAGCAUUCCUCCUUGGAUGACGUAAUAUCCUUAUAUCUUUCGAAGAGAGGCUAAGUGCAUUAAAACGGGACAUAUUGUCCCACUAUUUCCCCAUGCAGUAGAACAUUGGUUUUCGGCUAUAUGACUACAUCACUAUGACUACAUGAUUAUGACGACAUGAUCAUGACUGUAUGACUAUAUAGAAUAGUUUUUAUAGAAUAGUUUAUUUGGUUAGUCACAAUUUUUAUGGGAAAUAGUUAUAAUACUUCUCGGCUUAGAUAAGCUGCAGCCUAAAUGAGUCACGAACAGUGAACUCUAAUAAUAACUGGAAGGCUAUCUCCUAUGAUGAAAGUCUAUGAUUCGUUGAAGCCGGCGCGCGGGAAAAUCAGCUUUCAAAAAGACUAAGGAGAGUUU